AGAAAAUAAGGAAACAAUGCAAUAGACACUUCCGUCUCUCUCACACUGCGUCUCUCACAAUCUCAUAAACUCUCUCUCAAGCUCAAAGAAUCUCUCUCUCUCAAGGUAGACGCUUCCGUCUCUCUCACACUGCGCCUCUCACAACUUCACACCAAAUCCCUCUCACAAACUCGUCUCUCUCCCAAUCGCGUGAAAGUUUGAAAGAAAGCUCACCUUUAUGGUGAAUCGGUAGCUCAGGGUUUGGGAUUUGGUCUAUGGUGGAGUUCAAAAGGGGUCUCGGCCAAAAUCCCUUUAGGGAUUCUCAGUUUUGGAUUGCCCUAUUCGAUGCUAAAUCAGAAACGUGAAAUCUGUGAGCUUUGGUUUGAUUUUGACAAGCUUGGUAAUGUUGGUUGCAAGCUUGCAAUAGAGCCUAUUUGCUCCUGCUCAUAGCAGAUUGGACAACUAGCAUUCGGCUUUAGCUUCAAGGUUUGAGGUUCCUGGGGACCUUUCUGGCUUGGAGACAACUCCUGUAGUUGAUUUUUGCAAGGCAGAUGAAGUGGAUGAACCAAUGAUUUUUUUUUGACAAGGUUUAUGAUGGAUUGGUGUAUGUAUGUGGGGUCUGCAGGUUGUCAUUGGACAUGGUUGCUGGUGAUGCUGCAGAAGGCCUAGCCUUGGUUCGUGCUGCAUCUUGCAAUGGUUUCGAUCGGAAUUGAUUGCUAAUCUUUUGGAUUAAUGGACUGUUAUGGACGUUUGGGUUCAAUUGCUUCUAAAUUCUCUUUUGUUGAGGUGUCAAGUUAUUUUUGAAAGAUGACCCAAUUCUUCUUCAGGAGCCGUACCCAACUAAGACUCACAUUUGUCAUCUGGAGCCUCUAUUUCGUCAUCCAAAACAUCGGUUCUGCCACCAUCAUCUUCUGCAUAUUCACUAACCGCCUUUUGCUCAUCAAUUUGUUAACAUCAAGGAUUGGAGGUGAUUCCUGACGCUUCUUAGUACCCGAAGUUGUUAUUUCUUUGCUUCCACCGGGUUCUUGUGUAUCAACUUCCCAGUCGCUGAGUCAUCUGUUGCGGUAGCAGUGUCAUGUUUUUUUUUUACGAUUCAGGCAGAUGCUGUUGUCUCCGCUGCUGAAACCAUUUCAUUGUAGUUGUAAUUGUUUAUCCGAGGCGUUCUGUUGAGACAUUCGAGCCACUGGAAGAUUUGGUGCGACCCUCUGUUGUCGGCUUUGCUACAACAACUGAUUGUACAUAUUGAGCCAUUCCUUCCCAUUCAGACUUCUGUUUUUGUAAUGACCCCAAAACUAACAGUCUUUGCAUUGCCAAAAGCUUCUAGGACGGGAUUUGACUCGAGGACUUUUUGCUCGACAAUUCUACCUUCAGCAACCGACACUCUCUCUCCCAUGUAAGCAAGGUAUAGCAUGAGCAGCAUUCGACUCUGCAUUGUACUUGACAAAGUCGCACGUGGCAGCAUCAAAAGCAACACCCGACCAAGCGGAAACCAAAUUAAUUCUAAGCACAAACAACGAUGUUAUCAACAAGACCGACUAUUAACUCAGUACUUAAAUUCACUGCAGUAGCUUCAACAGAUUGGUUUUAACUUGUUGAAUGGUCUUUUUUUUUGUUUUGUAAAAGCUUAGGGCGAAAUCGCAACAUGUGCAUAGAUAUACGCAAAGCAUACUUAAAUAUUAUGUCUUUUUGUAACUUCAUGAGUUUUCUUGUAACACAGAUAUUUAAGCAGGUUUUGUCUUGCAAUAUACAGCAUUGUCCUGCAGGUUUACGGA